rnacentral:rRNA from 1 species
UGGGGAAUAUUGCACAAUGGAGGGAACUCUGAUGCAGCGACGCCGCGUGAGUGAUGAAGGAAUUCGUUUCGUAAAACUCUGUUCUAUGGGAAGAAAAGGACUGUACCAUAGGAGAAAGCUCCGGCUAAAUACGUGCCAGCAGCCGCGGUAAUACGUAUGGAGCGAGCGUUGUCCGGAAUUAUUGGGCGUAAAGGGUGCGCAGGCGGCUUUACAAGUUGGAUGUGAAAUAUUGUGGCUCAACCACAAACGUGCAUCCAAAACUGCAAAGCUUGAGUUAAGGAGAGGUAAGUGGAAUUCCUGGUGUAGCGGUGGAAUGCGUAGAUAUCAGGAGGAAUACCGGUGGCGAAGGCAACUUACUGGACUUAAACUGACGCUCAGGCACGAAAGCGUGGGGAGCAACCAGG